ensembl:lncRNA
CAAACAUUAGCGGUCACUCAAACAGUAGCACCAACUGAGACCACAAUAGUAGCACCAACGUUAGCGGUUAAAAAAACAGUAGCACCAACUGAGAGUACAACUACAGCACAAACAGUAGCGGUGACUGAAACAAUAGCACCAACAGAAAAAGUGACUACGACAGUAGCACAAACACUAACAGAAAAUGAAACGGUAGCGCCAACUGAGACUACGACAGUAGCACCAACAUUAGAUGUGACUAAAACAUCAGGACUAACUGAGACUACAACCGUAGCGCAAACAUUAGCGGUGACUGAAACAGUAGCACCAACUGAGACUAUGACAGUAGCAAAAACAUUCGCGGUCACUGAAACAGUAGCACCAACUGAGACUACGAUAAUAGCGCAAACAUUAGCAGUGAUUGAAACAAUAGCACCAACUGAAAAAGAGAGUAUGACAGUAGCACAGACACUAACAGAAAAUGAAACAUUAGCACCAGCUAAGACUACAACAGUAGCACAAACAUUAGUGGUCACUGAAACAGUAGCACCAACUGAGACUACGAUAGUAGCACCAACGUUAGCGGUUAAAGAAACAAUAGCACCAACUGAGAGUACAACUACAGCACAAACAGAAGCGGUGAUUGAAACAAUACCAACAACUAAAAAAGUGACUAUGACAGUAGCACAAACACUAACAAAAUAUGAAACUUUAGCACCAACUAAGACUACGCUAGUAGCACCAACAUUAGAUGUGACUAAAACAUCAGGACUAACUGAGACUACAACCGUAGCGCAAACAUUAGCGGUGACUGAAACAGUAGCACCAACUGAGACUAUGACAGUAGCAAAAACAUUCGCGGUCACUGAAACAGUAGCACCAACUGAGACUACGAUAAUAGCGCAAACAUUAGCAGCGAUUGAAACAAUAGCACCAACUGAAAAAGAGAGUAUGACAGUAGCACAGACACUAACAGAAAAUGAAACAUUAGCACCAGCUAAGACUACAACAGUAGCACAAACAAUAGCGGAGACUGAAACAGUAGCACAAACCUUAGCGGUCACUGAAACAGUAGCACAGACAUUAGCGGAGACUGAAACAGUAGCACAAACAUUAGUGGUCACUGAAACAGUAGCACCAACUGAGACUACGAUAGUAGCACCAACGUUAGCGGUUAAAGAAACGGUAGCACCAACUGAGACUAUGACAGUAGCACAAACAUUCGCGGUCACUGAAACAGUAGCACCAACUGAGACUACGAUAGUAGCACCAACUUUAGCGGUUAAAGAAACAGUAGCACCAACUGAGAGUACAACUACAGCACAAACAUUAUCGGUCACUGAAACAGUAGCAACAACUGGAAAAGGGAUUACGACAAUAGCACAGGCACUAACAGAAAAUGAAACAUUGGCAUCAACUGAGACUACGAUAGUAGCACCAACGUUAGCGGUUAAAGAAACAAUAGCACCAACUGAGAGUACAACUACAGCACAAACAGUAGUAGUGACUGAAACAGUAGCACCAACUAAGACUACAACAGUAGCACAAACAUUAGCGGCCACUAAAACAGUAGCACCAACUGAGACUACGAUAGUAACACCAACGUUAGCGGUUAAAGAAACAGUAGCACCAACUGAGAGUACAACUACAGCACAAACAGAAGCGGUGAUUGAAACAAUAGCAACAACUGAAAAAGUGACUAUGACAGUAGCACAAACACUAACAAAAUAUGAAACGUUAGCACCAACUAAGACUACGCUAGUAGCACCAACAUUAGAUGUGACUAAAACAUCAGGACUAACUGAGACUACAACCGUAGCACUAACAUUAGCGGUGACUGAAACAGUAGCACCAACUGAGACUAUGACAGUAGCACAAACAAUAGCGGAGACUGAAACAGUAGCACAAACCUUAGCGGUCACUGAAACAGUAGCACAAACAUUAGCGGAGACUGAAACAGUCGCACAAACAUUAACGUUCACUGAAACAGUAGCACCAACUGAGACUACGACAGUAGCACCAACGUUAUCGGUGAUUGAAACAAUAGCAACAACUGAAAAAGUGACUACAACAGUUGCACAAACACUAACACAAAAUGAAACAUUAGCACCAACUAAAACGACGAUAGUAGGACCAACGUUAGCCGUGAUUAAAACAAUAGCAACAACAGAAACAGGGACUAGGACGAUAGCACCAACAUUAGCUGUGACUAAAACAGCAGGAUCAACUGAGCUUAUAACCGUAGCACAAACAUUUGCAGUCACUGAAACGGUAGCACCAGCUGAGACUACAACAGUAGCACCAACGUUGGUGGUUAAAGAAACAAUAACAUCAACUGAGAGCACAACUACAGCACAAACAGUAGCGAUGACUGAAACAGUAGCACCAACUAAGACUACGACAGUAGCACAGACAUUAGAGGUGACUGAAACAAUAACACUAACUGGGACAGUAGUACCAUUGUUAGCAGUGACUGAAACAAAAGCACCAAAUGAAAAAGAGACUAUGACAGUAGCACAGACACUAACAGAAAAUAAAACAUUGGCACCAGCUGAGACUACGAUAGUCGCACCAACAUUAGUGGUUAAAGAAACAAUAGCACCAACUGAGAUUACAACAACAAUACAAACAUUAGCAGCAAUCGCAACAACCGAAACAGGGACUACAUUAGUAGCACCAACAUUAGCUGUGGCUAAAACAGCAGGUUCCACUGAGACUACAACCGUAGCACAAACAUUAGCGGUGACUGAAACAGUAGCACCAACUGAGACUACAGCAGUGUCACCAACGUUAGCCGUAAUUGAAACAAUAGCAACAACUGAAAAAGGGACUACAACAGUAGCACAAACACUAACAGAAAAUGAAAUAUUGGCACCAACUGAAUCUACGACAGUAGCACAAACUUUAGCGGUGACUAAAAAAGUAGCAACAAUUGACACAGGGAUUGUGACAGAAUAUAAAACAGUUGUACCAAAUGAGACUACAAGAGCAGCACCAACAUUAGCCGUAAAUGAAACCGUAGCACCAACUGAGACUACGACAGUAGCACAAACAUUAGUGGUCACUCAAACAGUAGCAACAAUUGAGAAAGAAAUUACAAAAGUAGCGGUAACACUCACCGAAAAUGAAUCAGUGGCACUAACUGAAAUUGAGACUACGACACUAGCACCAACUGAGACUACGACAGUAGCACCAACGUUAGCUGUGAUUGAAACAAUAGAAACAACUGAAAAAGGGACUAUGACAGUACCACAAACACUAACAAAAAAUGAAACAUUGGCACCAACUAUGACAAUGACAGUAGCACCAACAAUAGCGGUGUAUGAAACAGUAGUAACAAUUGAGAAAGGAAUUACAAAAGUAGCGCCAACACUCACUGAAAAUGAAUCAGUAGCACCAACUGAGACUACGACAGUAGCACCAACGUUAGCUGUGAUUGAAACAAUAGAAACAACUGAAAAAGGGACUAUGACAGUACCACAAACACUAACAAAAAAUGAAACAUUGGCACCAACUAUGACAAUGACAGUAGCACCAACAAUAGCGGUGUAUGAAACAGUAGUAACAAUUGAGAAAGGAAUUACAAAAGUAGCGCCAACACUCACUGAAAAUGAAUCAGUAGCACCAACUGAGACUACGACGGUAGCAUCAACUGAGACUACGACAGUAGCCCCAUCAUUAGCGUUGAAUGAAUCGGCAGCCCCAACGCCCUCAGGGAAUGUUACUGCUGUUGCUGUAACUCCAACUCCGGCAGUAGUGGCAACAAUGGCACUGACCAGCAUCACAGCAGUGCCUCUCAUGGAAAGUGUAAACUGGGACGGCUGUUCAGUAACUCGACUUUGUGUACAUGAGCCACCCGGCUGUGACCCCAGUUCAAAUGCAAGAUGUUUGUUCAUGUCCGCUGAACAACAGAUUGGCCGAAACUUUUCAAUUGACCUUUCAGGGCAUUCAAUCGGCUACAUUGCUGCUACAUUUUCUACUGACGACUCUCUGGUAAGUAUAUAGUCUCAACUGAUGGCUAACAUCUGUUUCUCAGUCUUUCAAAGAAAAUAUUAAUCAGAAUCAUUACAGGGAGGUCACGACGUGACCUACAUAUGUGCAGCUGAUGGCAGUACAGUGGUGUUUAUCACUGCAACACUUCAUAAUGACUUCUUGAUAUUGACACUGGUGAGUUCUGCUUUCUUCAUUUAUAGUGCUGUAUUUACACAAUUCAUUUCCAUAAAACAAAAAAACAAAAACUGAGAAGCAUAAGACACAUGUA